GACGAACGCUGGCGGCGUGCCUAAUACAUGCAAGUUGAGCGCUGAAGGUUGGUACUUGUACCGACUGGAUGAGCAGCGAACGGGUGAGUAGCGCGUGGGGAAUCUGCCUUUGAGCGGGGGACAACAUUUGGAAACGAAUGCUAAUACCGCAUAAAAACUUUAAACACAAGCUUUAAGUUUGAAAGAUGCAAUUGCAUCACUCAAAGAUGAUCCCGCGUUGUAUUAGCUAGUUGGUGAGGUAAAGGCUCACCAAGGCGAUGAUACAUAGCCGACCUGAGAGGGUGAUCGGCCACAUUGGGACUGAGACACGGCCCAAACUCCUACGGGAGGCAGCAGUAGGGAAUCUUCGGCAAUGGACGAAAGUCUGACCGAGCAACGCCGCGUGAGUGAAGAAGGGUUUCGGAUCGUAAAACUCUGUUGGUAGAGAAGAACGUUGGUGAGAGUGGAAAGCUCAUCAAGUGACGGUAACUACCCAGAAAGGGACGGCUAACUACGUG
rnacentral:rRNA from 1 species